UGGGGGAUAUUGCACAAUGGAGGGAACUCUGAUGCAGCGACGCCGCGUGAGGGAAGAAGGUCUUCGGAUUGUAAACCUCUGUCUUCGGUGACGAAAAUGACGGUAGCCGAGGAGGAAGCCACGGCUAACUACGUGCCAGCAGCCGCGGUAAUACGUAGGUGGCAAGCGUUGUCCGGAAUUACUGGGUGUAAAGGGAGCGUAGGCGGGAAGGCAAGUUGAUUGUCUAAACUAUCGGCUCAACCGAUAGUCGCGAUCAAAACUACUUUUCUUGAGUGAAGUAGAGGUAAGCGGAAUUCCUAGUGUAGCGGUGAAAUGCGUAAAUAUUAGGAGGAACACCAGUGGCGAAGGCGGCUUACUGGGCUUUAACUGACGCUGAGGCUCGAAAGCGUGGGUAGCAAACAGGAUUAGAUACCCUGGUAGU
rnacentral:rRNA from 1 species